GGGAUGCUACCGGGCGACCGGAUGCGGAUCUCGAAAGCCUGUCCCAGUUCGGACUGGAGUCUGCAACCCGACUCCACGAAGUUGGAUUCGCUAGUAAUCGCGCAUCAGCCAUGGCGCGGUGAAUACGUUCCCGGGCCUUGUACACACCGCCCGUCAAGCCAUGGGAGCCGGGGGCGCCUGAAGUCCGGGACCGCGAGGACCGGCCUAGGGCGAAACUGGUAACUGGGGCUAAGUCGUAACAAGGUACC
rnacentral:rRNA from 1 species